rnacentral:rRNA from 1 species
GUGGGUAGUUUGACUGGGGCGGUCUCCUCCUAAAGAGUAACGGAGGAGCACGAAGGUUGGCUAAUCCUGGUCGGACAUCAGGAGGUUAGUGCAAUGGCAUAAGCCAGCUUGACUGCGAGCGUGACGGCGCGAGCAGGUGCGAAAGCAGGUCAUAGUGAUCCGGUGGUUCUGAAUGGAAGGGCCAUCGCUCAACGGAUAAAAGGUACUCCGGGGAUAACAGGCUGAUACCGCCCAAGAGUUCAUAUCGACGGCGGUGUUUGGCACCUCGAUGUCGGCUCAUCACAUCCUGGGGCUGAAGUAGGUCCCAAGGGUAUGGCUGUUCGCCAUUUAAAGUGGUACGCGAGCUGGGUUUAGAACGUCGUGAGACAGUUCGGUCCCUAUCUGCCGUGGGCGCUGGAGAACUGAGGGGGGCUGCUCCUAGUACGAGAGGACCGGAGUGGACGCAUCACUGGUGUUCGGGUUGUCAUGCCAAUGGCACUGCCCGGUAGCUAAAUGCGGAAGAGAUAAGUGCUGAAAGCAUCUAAGCACGAAACUUGCCCCGAGAUGAGUUCUCCCUGACUCCUUGAGAGUCCUGAAGGAACGUUGAAGACGACGACGUUGAUAGGCCGGGUGUGUAAGCGCAGCGAUGCGUUGAGCUAACCGGUACUAAUGAACCGUGAGGCUUAACCUU